GACAGAGGGGGCAAGCGUUGCUCGGAAUCACUGGGCGUAAAGGGCGCGUAGGCGGGAUGGCAAGUCGGUCGUGAAAUCCUUCGGCUCAACCGAAGAACGUCGGCCGAUACUGCCGUUCUUGAGGGAUGCAGAGGAGAUUGGAAUUCCCGGUGUAGCGGUGAAAUGCGUAGAUAUCUGGAGGAACACCGGUGGCGAAGGCGGCAUCCUGGACCGGCAUUGACGCUGAGGCGCGAAAGCCAGGGGAGCAAACGGG
rnacentral:rRNA from 1 species